GAGUUGCAAAACUCCCACAAACCAUCGCGAACCGUACCGAUUCACCGUUGCUUCGGCGGGUUCGCCCGCCGAAGUAGCGAAAACUAAACUCUUUAUAAUUAUUGGCCUCUCUGAGUAAGAUUUAUAAAUAAGUCAAAACUUUCAACAACGGAUCUCUUGGUUCUGGCAUCGAUGAAGAACGCAGCGAAAUGCGAUAAGUAAUGUGAAUUGCAGAAUUCAGUGAAUCAUCGAAUCUUUGAACGCACAUUGCGCCCGCUAGUAUUCUGGCGGGCAUGCCUGUUCGAGCGUCAUUUCAACCAUCAAGCCCUCUCGCUUGUGUUGGGGUCCUGCGGCUGCCCGCAGGCCCUGAAAACCAGUGGCGGGCUCGCUAGUCACUCCGAGCGCAGUAAUACAUUCUCGCUCAGGGCGUGCGGCGGGUUCUUGCCGUU
rnacentral:rRNA from 1 species